GUAGUUGACAGAGCAUUAAGAGUUUAACGGCCGUCGAACUUUCUUCUUCACUGACAACCACAACGCUGCUUUUUCUUAUUUAACUCCUAUAUUUUAUCCGCCCAGUUCGACUUUGUUCUGGGCUUUUUUUC
rnacentral:antisense_RNA from 1 species